rnacentral:rRNA from 1 species
UACGAAGGGGGCUAGCGUUGCUCGGAAUGACUGGGCGUAAAGGGCGCGUAGGCGGUUUGUACAGUCAGGUGUGAAAUUCCCGGGCUCAACCUGGGGGCUGCACUUGAUACGUAUGGACUGGAGUGGGGAAGAGGGUCGUGGAAUUCCCAGUGUAGAGGUGAAAUUCGUAGAUAUUGGGAAGAACACCGGUGGCGAAGGCGGCGACCUGGUCCUUGACUGACGCUGAGACGCGAAAGCGUGGGGAGCGAACCGG